CCGGUACGCCGAUCACAUGCUAGUCACGUGGGCUUUUUUUUAAAACAAUUGAAACUGGUUGUUUUGGUUAACCAGUUAAAAUGAGGAAAAAAAAUCAUGCUCCUUCAAAACCUAGGAUGCGUACUCGAUUUCGUCUAUCUCCUCCUCCAUAGCUUUGCACAGCCACAGCUCUAUUUCGUCGAAGUCACAGCUGCACAGCUUUCUACAGCCUGAAGAAGCUCCCCCCACUUCGUCUUCUCCAUCUGAGGAGCAGAUUUCAGCCAAAACCCAGAAACCCACUUCGUCUUCUCCAGCUGCUUCCUCCAUCUCGUUAUGGAAGCUCAAAAAAGGGGAUCAACAAAAGGAAAGCGCAAAGUCGACAGUAAUGUGCAACAAUCAAGAGUUGGCCGAGAUGCAUUUUUUAAUUUCAUGUAAGUUACACGUACAUCUAAAAAUCGGAAAUGUAGUUGCUUAAUAUUAUGAUGGUUUUUUGAUUAAAAAUAAAUGAUUUACAAAAAAAAAAAAAAA